GAGUUUGAUCUUGGCUCAGGAUGAACGCUGGCGGCGUGCCUAAUACAUGCAAGUAGAACGCUGAAGCUUGGUGCUUGCACCGAGCGGAUGAGUUGCGAACGGGUGAGUAACGCGUAGGUAACCUGCCUGGGUAGCGGGGAUAACUAUUGGAAACGAUAGCUAAUACCGCAUAACAGUAGAUAUUGCAUGAUAUCUGCUUGAAAGGUGCAAUUGCAUCACUACCAGAUGGACCUGCGUUGUAUUAGCUAGUUGGUGAGGUAACGGCUCACCAAGGCGACGAUACAUAGCCGACCUGAGAGGGUGAUCGGCCACACUGGGACUGAGACACGGCCCAGACUCCUACGGGAGGGCAGCAGUAGGGAAUCUUCGGCAAUGGGGGAACCCUGACCGAGCAACGCCGCGUGAGUGAAGAAGGUUUUCGGAUCGUAAAGCUCUGUUGUAAGAGAAGAACGAGUGUGAGAGUGGAAAGUUCACACUGUGACGGUAUCUUACCAGAAA
rnacentral:rRNA from 1 species